rnacentral:rRNA from 1 species
CCUACGGGAGGCAGCAGUGAGGAAUAUUGGUCAAUGGUCGGGAGACUGAACCAGCCAAGCCGCGUGAGGGAUGAAGGUACAGAGUAUCGUAAACCUCUUUUGUCAGGGAACAAAGGCGGGGACGUGUCCCCGGAUGAGUGUACCUGAAGAAAAAGCAUCGGCUAACUCCGUGCCAGCAGCCGCGGUAAUACGGAGGAUGCGAGCGUUAUCCGGAUUUAUUGGGUUUAAAGGGUGCGCAGGCGGUCUGUUAAGUCAGCGGUAAAAGCCCGGGGCGCAACCCCGGCCAGCCGUUGAAACUGGCAGUCUCGAGUUGGAGAGAAGUAUGCGGAAUGCGCGGUGUAGCUGUGAAAUGCAUAGAUAUCGCGCUGAACUCCGAUUGCGAAGGCAGCAUGCCGGCUCCACACUGACGCUGAGGCACGAAAGCGUGGGUAUCGAACAGGAUUAGAUACCCCAGUAGUC